CAUCCCCUCACGGGGACACGAGCCACUCCCCCUCACUUCCCCGUCUUCCAUUUCUCUUGUUCCCAAUGUAGUCGGCCCAGCUCCUGAUGUUGCCCCCGCCCAUUUCUCUCCCAGCUCGAUCUGGCCGCCUCCUAGGACUCUAUGGUGUGCCACGCCGCCUGAUCUCCCUGGCUCCCACGGGCUCGCCCCAUCGCCAGUUCCUCGCAUGGCAUCGGCGGUCGGCCCUCCGCCUGGCGUGAGGAGGGCAUGGGACCGGCAGGCGUUGCUGCUAACUGCUGCAUGACGCCGGUGGUAUACGGCGGCGUGAUGAUGGCUGCGAGCACAAAGAGGGAGCGGCCGACGAUGUGGUCGAGGAGCUGGAAUUGGGACGUUGGGUGGAGGAGUUCAUCUCCGCGCUCCGGCACCAUCUCAGGAUUGAAUCCUCUCCUCGUUGUCGUCUAGAAGGUUGCUAGGCAGGGGCUCGUGGAUCCGAGGGGAUUUGUGGUUGCUGAUUUGUGCGUUCAGAGCUGGUUAAGCUGAGAAGAAGGGAGGGGCAAAGCCUGCAGGUGAUGGAAUAUAUCAAGAACAGAACUACUGAUGAGCUUUGAGAUCACAUGGGAAGUUUGAACCAGCGUACUUGUCCGAGACCAGUUCAAGACGUACAUAUAAAUACAGAUACCAUCAUUUUCCUUGAGCUGGAGUAACAGGAUUUAUCUCAUCUAAGAUUGAUGGUUCAAUGUCCACACGCAAAUCUCACACAUCCGAGACAUGUUAAAUUCAGAGCUCCAGGCAGGAUCAAGCACCGGAGCCAGGAUUCUGCUGGAAAAAGCACCGUCAGAACGCAAUAUUUCGGAAGAUCAACUGUGGGAGGAAAUUAUACCAAAAAUCCUAUUUUUCAAGAUAACGGAGGAAGCCAGAAGGAGGGGCCAGGAGGACCCAGGGUGGGCCCACACCCUAGGGCGGCGCGGCCCAUGCCCUGGCCGCGCCGCCAUGUGGUCUGGGGGGCCCACGACCCCUUUCGCCUCCUUUUCUUCGCAAAACCCUUCGUCCCGAAGACCUAAGCCACAGAGGGUUCCUCACGAAGAGUUACAGCCGCCUCUGCGGGGCGGAG